CAGCCGCCGCGGGAAUACGGAGGGUGCAAGCGUUAAUCGGAAUUACUGGGCGUAAAGCGUGCGUAGGCGGUUUGUUAAGUCUGUUGUGAAAUCCCCGGGCUCAACCUGGGAAUGGCAAUGGAUACUGGCAAGCUAGAGUGUGUCAGAGGAUGGUGGAAUUCCCGGUGUAGCGGUGAAAUGCGUAGAGAUCGGGAGGAACAUCAGUGGCGAAGGCGGCCAUCUGGGACAACACUGACGCUGAGGCACGAAAGCGUGGGGAGCAAACAGGAUUAGAGACCCCUGUAGUCCCUGUCUCUUAUAC
rnacentral:rRNA from 1 species